rnacentral:sRNA from 1 species
UGCAUUCCGAGUUUGAAGAGGAUGAGAACCUCCGAAGGAGGUUUGCGCCGGGCGUAGCGAGACAACGUUGCUUCAGCAACGGCCCGCAGGGGAAUCAUCCUCUCUCGCCGACCC